GGGGGGGGGGGGGGGGGGGCCGGGCGGGGGCAGGGGGGGCGGGGGCGGCGGGGCUGGUGGCGCACGGGGGCGGAAGGCGUGGGAACCUGCCCUUAGGGUCGGAAUAACUCCCCGAAAGGGGGGCUAAGACCGGAUAAUGUGUGCGGACCAAAGAUGUCUCGCCUGUGGAUGGGCCCGCGUUGGAUAGCUAGUUGGUAGGGUAAAAGCCUACCAAGGAGACGAUCCAUAGCUGGUCUGAGAGGAUGAUCAGCCACACUGGGACUGAGACACGGCCCAGACUCCUACGGGAGGCAGCAGUGGGGAAUAUUGGACAAUGGGCGAAAGCCUGAUCCAGCAAUGCCGCGUGAGUGAUGAAGGCCUUAGGGUUGUAAAGCUCUUUUACCCGGGAUGAUAAUGACAGUACCGGGAGAAUAAGCUCCGGCUAACUCCGUG
rnacentral:rRNA from 1 species